rnacentral:rRNA from 1 species
UGGGGAAUUUUGGACAAUGGGCGAAAGCCUGAUCCAGCAAUGCCGCGUGUGUGAAGAAGGCCUUCGGGUUGUAAAGCACUUUUGUCCGGAAAGAAAUCCUUGGCUCUAAUACAGUCGGGGGAUGACGGUACCGGAAGAAUAAGCACCGGCUAACUACGUGCCAGCAGCCGCGGUAAUACGUAGGGUGCAAGCGUUAAUCGGAAUUACUGGGCGUAAAGCGUGCGCAGGCGGUUUGCUAAGACCGAUGUGAAAUCCCCGGGCUCAACCUGGGAACUGCAUUGGUGACUGGCAGGCUAGAGUAUGGCAGAGGGGGGUAGAAUUCCACGUGUAGCAGUGAAAUGCGUAGAGACGUGGAGGAAUACCGAUGGCGAAGGCAGCCCCCUGGGCCAAUACUGACGCUCAUGCACGAAAGCGUGGGGAGCAAACAGGAUUAGAUACCCUGGUAGUCCACGCCCUAAACGAUGUCAACUAGUUGUUGGGGAUUCAUUUCCUUAGUAACGUAGCUAACGCGUGAAGUUGACCGCCUGGGGAGUACGGUCGCAAGAUUAAAACUCAAAUGAAUUGACGGGGUCAUAGCUGUUUCCU